CCGCUAUGGCGCCUCCAACCGCCCGCCCCGCCCCGCCGGGCCGAGCAUAAAGCGGGCGGGCCGCGGCCACGGGCCCCGGCGGCACCUGGUGGAACAGCUCGAAGAUCAGCUCCUCGGUCACGCGGGGGUCCAGGGCCUGCUCCGGAGCCCAGCCGCGACCAGCGGGGUGAGGUAACUUCGUUGUGACUGCCGUGAGCUGUGCUGAAGCCCGGCCUCCAGGAUAAGCACGUUUGUUUUGUGUAAUAGUAAUAAAAAGGAAGCAAGCACAGCGCUGAGUGGAGUGUUGAGUGUUCCAUUGCUUCGUUCCCUGUUAUUGCUGCAAUACUCCGUCUGAUGGCCUCCACCAUCCCAAAUACUGCCUCCCGUAAUGGCGCAAACACAGGCAGGCUGCUUUGCAUUCCUCCUCUAAACAGCUGUAUUACACUUUAAUGUGAAGAUGGCGCUUCUGCUUUUAUGUUUGAGCAGAGUUCUGGACACCCAUCUCUCAGUUAAGGUACUUCUCCAGUGUUUUGCAAAAUUGCUCCCCUUUCCCAUGUUGUUUGAU